AGAGUCUCCAGUAAUGGACGGG
rnacentral:miRNA from 1 species